AGUGAACGCUGGCGGUAGGCCUAACACAUGCAAGUCGAACGGCAGCACAGUAAGAGCUUGCUCUUACGGGUGGCGAGUGGCGGACGGGUGAGGAAUACAUCGGAAUCUACUUUUUCGUGGGGGAUAACGUAGGGAAACUUACGCUAAUACCGCAUACGACCUACGGGUGAAAGCAGGGGAUCUUCGGACCUUGCGCGAUUGAAUGAGCCGAUGUCGGAUUAGCUAGUUGGCGGGGUAAAGGCCCACCAAGGCGACGAUCCGUAGCUGGUCUGAGAGGAUGAUCAGCCACACUGGAACUGAGACACGGUCCAGACUCCUACGGGUGGCAGCAGUGGGGAAUAUUGGACAAUGGGCGCAAGCCUGAUCCAGCCAUACCGCGUGGGUGAAGAAGGCCUUCGGGUUGUAAAGCCCUUUUGUUGGGAAAGAGAAGCAGCAGGUUAAUACCCCGCUGUUCUGACGGUACCCAAAGAAUAAGCACCGGCUAACUUCGUG
rnacentral:rRNA from 1 species